GGGGGUGAACGGUCUCGACUUUAGGUGUUGAGUCAGGUGAAGCGGGCCGAGGAAGCCGGGAUGAUCUCGUAAACCAUGAAACCCGCGCAAAACAUAAGUGCAGAUGCAAAUCGCACUGAUUUCGCUAUCGCUGCCUAAGCGAUUUAAGUGAAUCCGUUAACCCAAGAGUGCUCUCGGCUUGGAUGUUAGCGUCGCUAGAGAGCUCACUUGACGAUGGUG
rnacentral:tmRNA from 1 species